CUCAUGUAUGAAAACGAAGAAGAAAAAAAAGAAAAAAGACAUUUGGUCUACUGUACAUUCUAUAUAUUUGCAAAUACACACAC
rnacentral:ribozyme from 1 species